UCCCCUUUAUUGAGAGUACCUUCUCUUUCCAACCCUUAAUUCUCUCGCAAAUUCUGUCAAUAAGAUGUUAAAAGCAAUCACUUCUAUGAUUCUAUCCACUCCAACCAUAGUGGGUAGACCAAGAUAUUUGUCUUUCGCCCUCGCUUUGUACGUCCCCUCCUCCUCCUCGAUUUCUUUUCUGCCUCUUCGGUCUUCUCCCCGCAACCCAAUCUCUUAUGAGGCCGGCAGAUACAACGAAUCCCAUCGGCGGCUGCCUCCCCCACGCGACAUCGAAAUCCCGCCACCCUCGUCGAUGGCGAUUACGCUCACGCCUCCCUCUCGCCUAUGUCCAGCAAAAAACGGCGAAAAAAAAACCAAGCGCACACAUGCCUGAUCCAAUCUGCCGCCAUGCCUCCCCACGCACUCCCAUGCCGCCGGUGGUACUAUGUCAUCGCGCCGGCGGCGGACCCAAAUUUUCUCUCCUUCUCCUCUGCCAUCGCGUCCGCUCCCCUCCUCAGCCAUCACAUGUGCAGCCGCCUCGUCGUCACGCUCCCUCUUCGACUCCAUCUACUACGAGCUCUGCCAGGAUUAUAUUCCGCUGUGGAGAUGCUGGACUUUGCAUGAUGAUAGCAUCCAAAGUGGGAAAGAACCAAUUCUGAAUUCAGCGUUGUUAUUGGAAAGUUAUGAGGAGGAAUGGCGCAGUUCUCGAGUGGAACUGUCAACGAGCUCAGGCAAGGGGACGGGCUACUUAUCCAAUCCUAAGCCUUGUAUAUCAACGAACAAAUGCAUACAGUGGACAGCGCCGAUCGACGAGCGAAGUUGCUAAAUUAAAUUCAGAUGCUGCUUUCGACGCCGACAGCGGUCAAAGCUGGGCUGGCGUGAUUGCUAGAGAUCACAGAGGGCAUUUAUUCUUGUCAGUCAGCAAGGAGUUGCCGCGAUCUACAAGUGUGGAAGAGGCUGAGGGACGUGCUACACUCCCCGGACUGCAUGCACUUGCGGCAGUGUACAUGGGAAAAAAUCAAUUGGAGGUGGACAACAAGUGGAUACCAGAUGCACUGAAGAAAAAUGCCCCGAACAAGUCUCUGAAUGAUGCCCUUGCUACGUUCUCUGCUUUCAAGGUGACUCACUCCGCGAGGGGAGGUAACAAGAUGGCACAUGAAUUAGUAGUUGAAGCCAGAGUGCGUGGAGACCAUACCUUCAUAGCGUAAGUCCCAGAUAGACUGAAUCAGCGUAAUGUUGUCUGAAUGGUGUCCCAUCCUAGAGCUCUGCUGUUCUAGGCUUCUAGCCCUCAAAAAAAUAAUAAUUUAUUUGUCAUAAUUCAA